rnacentral:rRNA from 1 species
UACGAAGGGGGCUAGCGUUGUUCGGAAUUACUGGGCGUAAAGCGUGCGCAGGCGGCCAGCCAAGUCAGGGGUGAAAGCCCGGAGCUCAACUCCGGAAAUGCCUCUGAAACUGUCUGGCUUGAGUACGGAAGAGGUGAGUGGAAUUCCCAGUGUAGAGGUGAAAUUCGUAGAUAUUGGGAAGAACACCGGUGGCGAAGGCGGCUCACUGGUCCGUUACUGACGCUCAGGCGCGACGGCGUGGGGAUCAAACAGG